ensembl:lncRNA
UUUAUAUCUACGUAGUUUAUAUCUACAUAGUUUAUAUCUACGUAGUUUAUAUCUACGUAGUUUAUAUCUACGUAGUUUAUAUCUAUAUAAUUUAUCUUUAUAUCUAGGUAGUUUAUCUUUAUAUCUACGUAAUUUAUAUCUACAUAGUUUAUAUCUAGGUAGUUUAUAUCCAGGUAGUUUAUCUUUAUAUCCAGGUAGUUUAUCUUUAUAUCUAGGUAGUUUAUAUCUAGGUAGUUUAUAUCUAGGUAGUUUUUCUUUAAAUCCAGGUAGUUUAUCUUUAUAUCUAGGUAGUUUAUCUUUAUAUCUAGGUAGUUUAUCUUUAUAUCUAGGUAGUUUAUCUUUAUAUCUAGGUAGUUUAUCUUUAUAUCUAGG